rnacentral:rRNA from 1 species
GACGAACGCUGGCGGCGUGCUUAACACAUGCAAGUCGAACGGAAAGGCCCUGCUUUUUUUGGUUUCUCGAGUGGCGAACGUGUGAGUAACACGUUAGUAACCUGCCCUUUACUUUGGUAUAACUUCAGGAAACUUGGGCUAAUACCUGAUAGGAUCUCCUGCUGCAUGGUGGGGUUUGGAAAGUUUCGGCGGUUGGGGAUUGACUCGCGGCUUUUCAUCUUGUUGGUGGGGUAGUGGCUUACCAAGGCUUUGACGGGUAGCCGGCCUGAGAGGGUGACCGGGGACAUUGGGACUGAGAGACGGAACAGAAUCGUAGGGGAGGCAGCAGUGGGGAAUAUGGAACAAUGGGAGGAAGCCUGAUGAAGAAACGCCGCGUGCGGGAUGAAGGCCUUCGGGUUGUAAACCGAUUUAGCAUGUGACGAAGAGUGAGUGACGGUAAUGGGUAAAGAAGCACCGGCUAACUACGUG